rnacentral:rRNA from 1 species
GACGAGGGGUCCAAGCGUUGUUCGGAAUUAUUGGGCGUAAAGCGCGUGUAGGCGGCUUUGCAAGUCGGGUGUGAAAGCCCUCAGCUCAACUGAGGAAGUGCGCCCGAAACUGCAGAGCUUGAGUGCCGGAGAGGGUGGCGGAAUUCCCGGUGUAGAGGUGAAAUUCGUAGAUAUCGGGAGGAACACCGGUGGCGAAGACGGCGACCUGGGUCGACACUGACGCUGAGGCGCGAAAGCGUGGGGAGCAAACAGG